rnacentral:rRNA from 1 species
AUUGAACGCUGGCGGCAGGCUUAACACAUGCAAGUCGAGCGGGGGAAGGUAGCUUGCUACCGGACCUAGCGGCGGACGGGUGAGUAAUGCUUAGGAAUCUGCCUAUUAGUGGGGGACAACAUCUCGAAAGGGAUGCUAAUACCGCAUACGUCCUACGGGAGAAAGCAGGGGAUCUUUGGACCUUGCGCUAAUAGAUGAGCCUAAGUCGGAUUAGCUAGUUGGUGGGGUAAAGGCCUACCAAGGCGACGAUCUGUAGCGGGUCUGAGAGGAUGAUCCGCCACACUGGGACUGAGACACGGCCCAGACUCCUACGGGAGGCAGCAGGGGGGAAUAUUGGACAAUGGGGGGAACCCUGAUCCAGCCAUGCCGCGUGUGUGAAGAAGGCCUUAUGGCUGUAAAGCACUUUAAGCGAGGAGGAGGCUACUCUAGUUAAUACCUAGGGAUAGUGGACGUUACUCGCAGAAUAAGCACCGGCUAACUCUGUGCCAGCCGCCGCCGUAA